CCAAGUUUAUUAAAAAAUACACCAUGGGAAAAAACAGAGACCUGGUGGAGUUCUCGCUGUGUUCACGUGCUGAGUGACUGAGAGGCGCACAGCCUCACAUGCAUGCACACGUGAUGUGUUCAUUCAGGGAGGGAGGGCUUUGUCCUCCUUGCCUAGGCUCAACCCAAGAGCUAGGAGAAAAAUAACAGCAGGCAUGGGAGGUGGGGCAUCCAGAGCAGUGAGGCAUAGCCUGCUACACUCUCUUUAUGCAGGUGUCACUGGGCAGGGAUCUGAGGAGGCGCUGGGCCAGGGCUUCCAGAGCAGAGGGAACUGCAGGCUCCUGAGGCUAGAGGCCAGGAGGUCAGCAGGGAGGCAGGAGGAAGGGAAGGAAGGGGAGGAGUGGGAGGAGGUGGGGCCACAGACACCCUUGGGGCCAGCAGUGUCGGCCUUCAGAGGCCCUGGAAGGACCUUGGCUUCCCCCCAGGCAGUGGAGUCCAAUGCAUUCUGCCUUCAGUCUUCCAUGACCUUUAUCUCAGCUCCUCCUCAGCACGUGACAGGAGGCUCCCUAGGGGCACACCGCGUGCCUGUGCCUCCCCGCGCCAAAGCUGGACUCCAUGAGUCCACAGCACCAUUCUGCUCAGUAGGUUGUGCAAACAGGAGAAUGACGCAAGCCGACCUCACCGGCGUCUUCUGUCCUGGGCCAAGUCCGCUUGCUGGCACCUCUGCAGCCUGCGUGCAGCAUUCCGCAGGGCUCCUUCUGACUGACUGCUCGUAUUCCACGAUCUCAAAGCAACAUCACGCCUGUAAUUCCAGCACUUUGGAAGGCCAAGGCUGGUGGAUCACCUGAGGUCAGAAGUUCAAGACGAGCCUGGCCAACCUGGCGAAACACGUCUCUACUAAAAAUACAGAAAAUUAGCCGGGUGUGGUGGCAGAUGCCUAUAUAAUCCCAGCUACUUGGGAGGCUGAGGCAGGAGAAUCAAUCGCUUGAACCCAGGAAGCGGAGGUUUCAGUGAGCGGAGAUUGUGCUGUUGAACUCCAAUCUGGGCAACGAGAGUAAAACUCUGUCUCAAACAAACAAGCAAACAAACAAAAGGUUCAAUGACUUUUUCAGAUGUCAGAGAAAUAAAGUGAUUGGCAAAUGCUCUCCUCCCUGCCAUUUCUCCAGCUGGGCAGCUGAGGUGCAGAAAUGCUGUGUGACAUGCUCAAGCACGUCUGUGGCCAAGACGACCAAGAGCAAGGCUGUCCUUAGGGAGGCUUUGGCGGGGGCACGUCAUGCUGGCAGAGUCGCACCUCUCCCAAAUUAAUAUCCACUCAUAGCUUAAAAAGGCAUGAAAGCAACAGCCCUCAUUACCAGAGCCUGGAACCUGAGAUCGAAACUGGAAAACCGUAAGGAUAUCUACCAGAGUUCAUCAAGAAAUCAGUGGUGAAUUAUAUUGUUGCUGAAAUUGUUUUCAGAUGAUUUUUCCCCAAGUAGUUUGCUCCUUUGACUUGCUCCAGAAUAGUUCUUGGUAUGAUACUGCUUCCAGGAACAUUAACAUCCUUUUCUGUGAAUAAAUAAUUUUUAAACUAGGGAUUCCAGAAAUUAUCUAUCAUCUAACCAUCCAUCCGUCCGUCCGUCUAUCCAUCCAUCCAUCGAUCCGUCCAUCCUGCCAUGCUGUUUUGCUUCUGAACAAGUGGUGUCAGAUUUGUUCCAGGCUACAUGAAAAUUUCCUUCAGUCUCUGCACGGACAUUUGUUUGUGGACGUGACAGCAUUGUAAAGGCUGUGGCUUUGUAGUUUUCUAUCUUGAGAACUCAGCCUAUCCACAUCCCCUUAAGUAAAAUGACUCCGUUGAGAGGAGAAGACCUUCAGUGCCGAGGUGCACGGCGAGAGGAGAAGACCUUCAGUGCCGAGGUGCACGGCUAACUCUCGGGCAAAUGCAGUUGUUUCAGUGGGUGGAUUUUUUUUCUGCCAUAAACUAAGAGGCAUGAGAGAAGUGUGCCACGGGUAGUUUUGGUGCUCAUUUUAUGAGUGUUGGGUUCUUCUUGAAUGAUAUUUAUUUUCUCGGUAAGGAAAUAAGAAGUUAUUACAUUCUGAAGAAACUAGUUAAUUAGUUAAUGUGUGUUUUUAAAAAAGAAACAUUUUCUACUACCCAUCUUUAAAGCACCUGACCUAGUUUUAUUUGGAAGAAUCCCAGGAUGGGAAGGCAUAUUUUAAAAAGAAAAUCACUAUUUGCAACUAUCUUUCUGAAUCUCUGCAGAUCGGAGUUUUCCCCUUAUAGUGUGACUAAAACACAAUGUAACAAUAAUUCGGAUUCUGAGGCCAUCAAAGCAGACAUUGCAGUCAGUUCCCCACAUUUCCAGCUUUUAAAUGUCUACCAAAACAGCCUCAUCAUGGUCUCAGUUGUAAUAAACAAAUACUUGAAAAUGAAACAUGGAAAAAAUAUUUCAGUGAGUUGUAUUUCGUUUUUAGAGGCAGGGCCUCUCUCUGUCACCCAGGCCGGAGUUGCAGCGGCUGGAUCCUGGCUCACAGCAGCUUCAACCUGCGGGGCUCAAGCCAUCCUCCCACCUCAGCCUCCUGAGUAGCUGGGACUACAGGUGUGCCACCAUGCCCGGGUAAUUUCUUUAUUUUUUAUUUUUGUGGAGCUGGGUUCUCACUGCAUUACCCAAGCUGGGCUCAAACUCCUGGCCUCAAGCGAUCCUUCCACUUUCACCUUCCAAAAUGUGGGAUCAUGGGUGCAAGCUACGGUGCCCGGCUCUGUACGAGUUUUUACAUUAGAGAUUCGUGCAUGGUUUUGAUUUUUAAAAAUAUGAGAAAGCAAGUGCUCUGGAUGGACAAGAAGGUGUGGACUGGAAACGGAGUGCCCUCUUUGGUGACCCACGGACUUGUUUUCUUUAAAUAACUUUAGAAAUCAAUUAUUUGACACAAAACACACAUUUCUGGCUCUCAUUAUAUAUGGAAGAUUUGACACCAUUGUCUCACAUUUGGACUUGACAAAGUCAGCUGGAAGGGAGGGGGGGCUGUCUUUUCAGACAGCUCAUGGGUUCCUGCACGAACUGGGUUUGCAGCGACUCUCAGCCCUAUUCCACCGGGAGCUUUUACUCACCCAGUUUGCCUGUGUGGACACCUGCGAGGUAAACACUGUCCCUCUGUGUCAUCUCAAUGUGCCUUUCAUGUUUCAGGCGGCACCUGUCAUGUGCUCUGCACACUCUGAUGCUGUAUGUUCGUGUGUGCGUGUCUACAGCACACAGUCACACACAGUCACACACAGUCACACACUGCACAGGAACACGGUUGACUUCAGGAACUCCAUGCAGCUCAGCACUGUCGGGAUCGGGAGCGAACCACUACAUGUGCCUUGUCGGGUGUCUGCACAUCUGCGCUCGAACAGAAUUCUGCAGGCCUCAAAGGGUAUAAAAAAAUCAAAGGAAUGGAAACCGUUUACCCAAACAUGAAAGGGAUGCUCUUUUCAUGUGCGAGGGCAGGAAUGGCAGGUUCGUUAAGCACCUGCCUCUCAGCUGUGCUCGCCCUUCAGGCAAAACUGCCACUCAAGGUGUUUGGAAAAUGUUGUCCAGACCAGGCCGUCCUCACAUGGCUGCCCAGAUGUUCAGCUGCCUUUUAGCAAAACAGACGGUUUGAAGGUUUACAAAAGUCAGACCUUUCGCUUUCCUGGUGUUCUCUUCAUGUCCUUUCUUCAUCUGGGUGCACAGAGGCCCUGGUGACACAGGUGGCCCCGAGCCCACCCACAGCACCCAGGUUAACACAGCCCCGAGCCCACCCACGGCACCCAGAUUAACACAGCCCCGAGCCCACCCACGGCACCCAGAUUAACACAGCCCCGAGCCCACCCACGGCACCAAGAUUAACACAGCCCCAGAGCCCACCCACAGCACCCAGGUUAACAGCCCCGAGCCCACCCACGGCACCCAGAUUAACACAGUCCCAAGCCCACCCACGGCACCCAGAUUAACACAGCCCCGAGCCCACCCACGGCACCCAGAUUAACACAGCCCAGAGCCCACCCACGGCACCCAGAUUAACACAGCCCCAGAGCCCACCCACAGCACCCAGAUUAACACAGCCCCGAGCCCGCCCACGGCACCCAGAUUAAUACAGCCCCAGAGCUCACCCACGGCACCCAGAUUAACACAGCCCCAGAGCCCACCCACGGCACCCAUAUUAACACAGCCCCAAGCCCACCCACGGCACCCAGAUUAACACAGCCAGGGAUGCCUCCACGCAGCCCAGAUUAGAAUUCUGAUUUGCUGAAGUAGGAAUCACACAGUGCCCCAGGAGCGUCAGUCUUACACUUCUUUUUCUCCCAGCUCUUUCCAGUUUAAUAUGGUUACAGUAAAUGUGUCCAGCUCAAAAAAACGUUUAAAGACCAGCCACGAUCUCUCUUCAGUGUGAAGGGAAAUAACAUUCUGGAUAUUAGUUGAACCUUUAUUUGGCAUCUCAAGACACAUUCAGGUGAAUUCUUUCUCGCUGCUCUAAAAUAGCAUUUCAAUGCUUUCUGCAAGAAGCCACAGGGCCCCUACUGUCCAGCUUCAAUAAAGCGAUUAUUCCAAAGGAACGGCUGCUCUUGGCUGAAAACUGCUCACAUGUGGUGCUCUUUCUUCCAGGCAGCUAUUUUUAACUCUGCUGUUUCCACAAGGUCACGGCAAUGAGAGUGUUGGAUGUGGCGCUGAGGUGGCCCAAGAACACAUUCUUCCUCUUGAAGUUAUUAGAUUCUUGGGGGUCCCUGGCAAGGAUUGGGAAACCUUUCAUUCACCAGGGAUUGAGCCUGGCUGUGCUGUUGAAAGAAACAUCAGGUGCAUUUCAACAUCUUCUCAUGGAAUUUCUGGCAAUCAAUCACUGCAGGACGGUAGGAGGGAUCUGGGCCCGGGCAGCUCAUGACCCAGCCUGGAGGGAAGCUGGGCCAUGGCUUGUGGCCCAGAGCAGGAAGAGGGUAGAAAUCCGUGUGAAUGUCAAGGAGCACCAUGGGACAAGCGUGUUGCUGAGAAGGUGUUCUGUGCAAGGUGUGCAGGGAUGACGGCUGUUGAGGAUGCUGAGUGCAGAGCGCAGAGGCCUGGGGUGCUGGGCACAUCACCAGCAGAGAGGCCGCUGGAGCCCACAGAGGAAGGGAAACCUGGUGGACAGGGCUGUGUCCGAGAAUGAGCAGAUGGUGCCCACCGCUGCUUAGGUAGCGAUGACAAGGGGGAAGGAGAAGGAGGCUUCACAGCUUCUGCCCCAGGAAGAAGAUGGUUCCCCGAAGAGUAGAAGGCCCUCGUCCCUGGGGCUUGCUCAAGGGCUGGAGGGGAAUGUGAGGAGCUGAUGUUAGGCAGGAAGAGCCCCGGGGGUGAAGCUAAUGUAUGUGGAGGUGCACCUCUCUAGACCGACAGCCAGGGACACGGACGUCCUGUUGAGUCACUGAGACACAGGUCUGCAGGGAAGAGAAGUCCGGUCAGGGUGAUCUGCUCGGAGGCCUGAAGUGGGGAGGAAAGGGGCUUCCAGGAGGGAAUGAAAAGCUAGAGCUGCAGAGCGAGGCAAGAAGGAGGUGGCUUGGGGAGCGGAGAGGGGGCGGUCGCAGGGC
rnacentral:lncRNA from 1 species